CUUUGUUUCUAUCGACUAAAGAAAAGAGAGCAGUAAAAGAGACAUUAGGCAUUGAUAAAGAAGGAGGUGAUGGUACAUACCAAGACAAAAGACUUUGUUUGCGGUGAUUCAUCUAUCUCUAAGAAAACCUAAGAGAGUCACAAAUGGAGACCUGAGGAUUCCACGGUUAUAUCUCCGGUGAAUCUUUGCCGCAAUAAUGAAAAUGGUGGAUUUCUCUGCAUCUCCACUGGCUUGCUGAUUCUUCUCUACUGCUAUUCUCGAUUCGAGCACACCACUUCAUUUCUAUCGUCUGCAGCAGAUGAGAAUUAAGGAUCAGAAAAUCUGAAUAACAUAGGAGGUGAAGAAUCAAAAUUAAUUAGACGUAGUGGGGCUCCUGGAAUAAAGGCUAUAAUUGAGAAGAGUAAUUACAUGGUGUGAAGUUGAAAGGAGGCGUUUCCAUGGGGUUUGCAGAGGAGGUGUGAAGUCAACGUUGUGAGAGAUAGAGAGAAGACGUCAUUGGGCCGUGUAGAUAGAUUGCUAACAUAUGUUUACGGACCGAGAAAGAAAAAAAAAUGAAACAUGGUGUAUCACUCGACACGUGUCAGCUCCUUAACGCAUGACUUAUCUACGUGGAAUCUGACGUGGCGCAACAGGUAAGAAAGAAACCCUUCUUACUAGGGUCGGUUUGCCCUACGGGCGGAACAUACUUUACUUCCGAUUUAUGUUAUUAUUUUUUGUAUGAUUUUGUGGUUUGUAUUUUAAGUUUGCAUUUGCAAACAAUGUUUAAUGAUUUUUGUCUUCUAAAAAGUUUUAAAUAAGAAGAGAUUAUGUGUGAUAAGAUAUAUUUUGCAUGUUUACCAUAGUUGUUUCUAAAUUAAAAAGUUGUGGCAUUGAUACGCAUUGCAGGCUUCAAAUAGUUUUCAUGUUGUUUCUUUUAACAAAAACUUAAUCUCAUAUUCGGUGCAUUAUUUGUGGUUUGUAAUAUUUUGGGUUCAGAAAAAUUGGAUUGUGAAUAAUUAUUUUGUGUAUGUUAUAAGGGUAAUCACUUUUCAUGAUGAAAUCAUAGUCUUUCCACAUUUCAAAUCACGCGGGAGUUUGUUCAAAUUUUAAUUUAAUUUUCUUUGCAUUUUAUUUGAAUAUAUAUAUAUAUAUAAGAAUUGAUUAUAAAAUAAGGUAGUAUAGAAAUUUGAAACCAUUUUGUUACUUUUUGUAUUAAAUUUGAAAUGUUAGAACUCAUAGUUUGUUGUGGGUUUUAUUAUUUGAAAUUAUAGAUUUAAUGAUAUGAGUUAGGAAUUAACUAAUUGUUCACUUUGAUCUAAUUUUUUUUUGAUCAUUUAGGUUUUACGUAAACCAUCUUUUUGGUUUAGUUCAAAAUUAUUUUUAUCGGGCCAACUAAGUUUGUAGUUUGCAAUCUUGGUUUAAUAUACAUACAAAUUUUUUAAAAAAAGUUUGACCAAUUAAUUAAACAUGUUAUUUUUCAUAUACAAUUUGAUGGCCGUAUAAUGUAUAUAACUAUAUUGUAUUUUUUAUGUUAAGAUUUGAAAGUAGGAUUAUAAUUACUUUGAUGUUUUUAGGUGUGUAUGUUAGGCCGUAGAUGGUUUAUUAGUUUUUAGAUUAUGUAUGUUAUGUAGGGGUGGUUGUGUAUUGUUUUAAGAGUUUGGACCAUAUAGAAUACUACUAUAUAUAGUUUUGGUGAGGUUUAUGUGGGUUUCUUGGUUGAAUGUUGUUGGUUAUGCGUAUACAUAUUGGUUGGUUAAAUUAGGAUUUCUUUAUGUUGGGCUUGGAAGUACGUGGUUUGUGGGUCUAAUGAGUAAUGAGUAUGAUUUUUUGGUCCAAAAAUCCAUGGUCUUCGUUUGUUACUUUACAUAUACAAUAAUCAAUAUAAGAUAUUUUGAUUUUUAGUUUCCAUCUAAUAAUUUUAAUUUUUGUUCAGCUUAAAAUAAUAUUGGCUUUCAUUAUUUAUAUUUUGUCAAUUUUAUCAGAAAUCAUAUGAUUCAUCUUUUACCAUAUAAAAUAUUGUCAUGUAUAUGUAAUUGUUUUACAUUUAAAUAAGUUGGUUCUACAUGUAUUAUGAUAAUAAGCAGAAUGAAAUUUCUGUAACACACAAAUUAUGAAUUGAUUUUUGUUUAAACUUAUCGGAGCUUUCUCGGUAACGUAUGUGAACAGUUACCGCCUAAUUUUAUUUUGAUUUUUUUAAUUAUUUUCCGACAAACUUAGUUAAUUGUUAUAUUAGAUAUAUAAAAAAUAAGUCAUAAAUGUAUUUCAUAUUUGAUUUAUGCAUUAAACAAUUUUUUUCCUUAACUUCUUUUAUUUUUUUCUCCAUUUCCUUUCUUACUCUUCUCCUCCAAUCCUCUUUCUUCAAUUUCUCCAAGUCUUUCCUUAACUUCUUCAAAUCUCUCGAUCUUUCCUUGAUUUUUUUUUUCUUCGUCAAUCAUUUAUUAUUUCCUUACAAAUCCAGUACCUACAUUAACUCAUGAAAUCUACGUUUUUUUUUAUGCGAUCUGACUUUUUGGGAGAAGACAACCGAACCUAUGCUGCUUAGAUUCACCAUAUUUGCUACUUAACACCAUCGUUUCUUCCAAAGCCACCGCCUUUGCCAUUUUCCACCACCACCAUCACCGUAGGCUCGUAGCUCCUUCCUCACACAUGUAGUUUUAAAGCCUCGGAGAAGACGCCUUCCGAUGAUAUCCCGGCAAAAUUAAGCGUCAUGGAGACCUCUUUCUUGUAAUGUAAAGGCCCAAUUAUGAAGAAUAAGUAGAAAGCAACGUAUAGGCCCAAUGGAAAAUAAAUAGAAAGCGACGAACGAUUAAAUGAUACGGUGAGUUUUGGUGAGAGGGACAUGUGUCGAUACCAUAGAGCUUGAAUUUGUGACCUGGAAUCUUAGGUGGCGCUCUCAGGAGUGAAAUAGCUCUACUUUAUAUAUAAAGAUAUAGAUAUUUUACUUAAUCGAUUUCUUCAGUUUUAUCGGUUUAUAUACCGAAAAAUAUCUAUAUAUUGCGGUUUAUAAAAAAGAACAUAUAUUUGAUUUAUAUAGUAUGACCAAAUCCAAACCACUUUAUCUGUUUAAUUUAGUUCUAUUUUAAUUUAGUUAUAUUUUAAUUAGUUCGGUUUUACUGAAUUAAACAUUCCCACGUACAACAUAUU